AUUGAACGCUGGCGGCAGGCCUAACACAUGCAAGUCGAGCGGAUGAAGGGAGCUUGCUCCUGGAUUCAGCGGCGGACGGGUGAGUAAUGCCUAGGAAUCUGCCUGGUAGUGGGGGAUAACGUCCGGAAACGGGCGCUAAUACCGCAUACGUCCUGAGGGAGAAAGUGGGGGAUCUUCGGACCUCACGCUAUCAGAUGAGCCUAGGUCGGAUUAGCUAGUUGGUGGGGUAAAGGCCUACCAAGGCGACGAUCCGUAACUGGUCUGAGGGGAUGAUCAGUCACACUGGAACUGAGACACGGUCCAGACUCCUACGGGAGGCAGCAGUGGGGAAUAUUGGCCAAUGGGGGAAAGCCUGCUCCAGCCAUGCCGCGUGUGUGAAGAAGGUCUUCGGAUUGUAAAGCACUUUAAGUUGGGAGGAAGGGCAGUAAGUUAAUACCUUGCUGUUUUGACGUUACCAACAGAAUAAGCACCGGCUAACUUCGUG
rnacentral:rRNA from 1 species